GAGUAUCAUAGAAUUUAUUGAAAAAUUGAAAUAUGUACAGCGACGACGAACCGGACGACACUUUCUUCUACCGCUACGCCUCCGCCGCCCAGCCACCGCCGCCCGCCGCCGCCUCCUCCUCCUCUAAAUCCUCCCGCGGAGGAGGAGGAGGAGGUAGCGGCGGACUAGCUCCGUCGAAAUCCACCGUCUAUAUCAGCAACAUCGACUACAACCUCACGAACUCCGAUCUCCACACGAUCUUCUCCACGUUCGGAAAAGUCGCCAAGGUCACCGUGCUCAAGGACCGCGCCACUCGCCGGAGCAAGGGCGUGGCCUUCGUCCUGUUCGUCAACCGCGACGACGCCUCGAAGGCGGUGAUAGGCAUGGAUAAGAAAAUACUCAACGGAAGAACCCUACGCGCCUCGAUCGCCGCGGAUAAUGGACGCGCCGCGGAGUUCAUCAGGAAAAAGGUGUACAAGGAUAAGAGCAAGUGCUACGAAUGCGGAGAGGAGGGGCAUUUGUCGUACGAAUGCCCUAAGAACUUUUUGGGGCCGAGGGAACGGCCUGUAGCGAAGAAAUUGCGCCGGAACGGCGGCGGCGGAGGCGGAGAAAAUGGAGGUAAGGAUCAGGAGCACAAUUUGGAGGAUGAGGAAGAGGGAGACGUCGAUUUUGAGACGGAAAAUUGGGCGUCCGUCGUGGAUGGUGAUGGGGCGGCGGAGGCGAGAUUGUUGGGCAGUUGCAGUGAUAGGGGAGAGGUUAAGAAGGGGAAGAAGGAGAAGAGGAAAGGAUAUUUCAGUGAUGAGAGUGACGAAGAGGAUUGAAAUUGAAAUUGGAAUUGGAACUGCAUACAUACAGAUACAGAGUUGGCAAUUUUCAUCUCUGGAGCAUAGUAAUGGAGGUGGUAAUGGUGCGUGGCCGUGGAAACAAAGAAGAAAGGAUGCUGAAAAGUACUAUCGACUAAGUGCAAUGACUUUCAAAAAUGACAUGUGGCGACGGCAAGGAUCUGAUGGGGUAUGUAUAACUUAUAUGCAUAUUUGUUAUUUAAUUUUGUUGUGUAUUUGAAUUGUUGUUUUGUGUUCUGGUAAUAUCUAGUUUUGCGAUUAAUCGAUUGAUACAAAGGGUUUUCCCAUUUCAGUAGUCGGUAGAUAGAUUUUCGAGUAUUUAUAGGCGUUGUUACUUUCAUCUUAUUACGAAUAAGAGAAAUUAGCACGGCCCUAUUUGAGUUUGAUAUUGGGUGCUUAUAUUAUUGGCGACUA